rnacentral:misc_RNA from 1 species
AGACUCAAUCCCUCUGGUUUUCUAACCGGUUGGAUUGGACUUGGGCGUCUUGCCAGCAAUGGCUCGCCUCAAAUGACUUAGUGGAACAUCCCACAUCAGUGUUAGACGUAAUAAGUUUCGUCUCUCCUUGUGGUGGUGACUGCUUAGAACCUGCCAUCGCGCACUCUUUUGA